ACUCAUCCUCCCCAAAUCACGUCCCUCUUUUGUUCCCCACUUGCCCGAUUUGUUCGACCCCUUCCCCACCCCGCCGCUGACAAUCCCCUCCCAUCAGCAGCUUCACCCACGCCCUCCCAUGCCUGCCCCAACGCAAGCGCCGUGGAGGAGUCUCCACGCGCCUCCUCCACGCGCCGCGCGACGCCCCACCCCACUGCUACCAGAUGCCAUUCGACUGAAUCCCCACAAGAUAGCACUCGCCCCUGCGUUCUUUCGCCGCCACCGUGUCAGAUGCGGCAGGCGCAGCAAUAACCACUGCCGGGAUUUCAUCGGCUCAAUCGCUGGAGGCAACCCUACAGGCGUGCUCCAGGUUUACUGGCGCUCACGGAACCAGAACAGGCACCGAUGUGAUGAACCCUACAUGUGCUGGAGAACAAGUGCAGGAGCCAACCAACUCGGCAGUCUGUUGAUGUUCGUGAAAAUGGAUAAUUGGACUUCAAGAUACGAAACCUGAAGUUGGGGAUUGCUACUGAAGUAGAGGAAUAGAGAAAUGCAACAGCUUAUAAAAUAAAUUAAUUUAUUUUAAAUAUUUUGUUUUGCCGAUGUCAAAUGCUUACUUUCAUGUUGUACAAAUAGCUAGUGAUUUGUGAGAUGCAAUAUAUGUUAAUCUCAUAUAUUUAUAGUUUAUGUGUGAUUGGCUCUUA